rnacentral:rRNA from 1 species
AGGACGAACGCUGGCGGCGUGCCUAAAACAUGCAAGUCGAACGGUGUAGCAAUACACAGUGGCGAACGGCGGAGUAAUACAUAAGGAACGUGCCCUGAAGACCGGGAUAGUCAUUGGAAACGAUGGGUAAUACCGGAUGUGGCCACUCUUCGGCAUCGGAGAGUGAUUAAAUGGUUUUUCGCUUCAGGAGCGUCUUAUGGCCUAUCAGGUAGUUGGUGGGUAAUGGCCUACCAGCCGACGACGGGUA